rnacentral:rRNA from 3 species
GCGAACGGGUGAGUAACACGUGGGCAAUCUGCCCUUCACUCUGGGACAAGCCCUGGAAACGGGGUCUAAUACCGGAUAAUACUCCUGCCUGCAUGGGCGGGGGUUGAAAGCUCCGGCGGUGAAGGAUGAGCCCGCGGCCUAUCAGCUUGUUGGUGGGGUAAUGGCCCACCAAGGCGACGACGGGUAGCCGGCCUGAGAGGGCGACCGGCCACACUGGGACUGAGACACGGCCCAGACUCCUACGGGAGGCAGCAGUGGGGAAUAUUGCACAAUGGGCGAAAGCCUGAUGCAGCGACGCCGCGUGAGGGAUGACGGCCUUCGGGUUGUAAACCUCUUUCAGCAGGGAAGAAGCGAAAGUGACGGUACCUGCAGAAGAAGCGCCGGCUAACUACGUGCCAGCAGCCGCGGUAAUACGUAGGGCGCAAGCGUUGUCCGGAAUUAUUGGGCGUAAAGAGCUCGUAGGCGGCUUGUCACGUCGGAUGUGAAAGCCCGAGGCUUAACCUCGGGUCUGCAUUCGAUACGGGCUAGCUAGAGUGUGGUAGGGGAGAUCGGAAUUCCUGGUGUAGCGGUGAAAUGCGCAGAUAUCAGGAGGAACACCGGUGGCGAAGGCGGAUCUCUGGGCCAUUACUGACGCUGAGGAGCGAAAGCGUGGGGAGCGAACAGGAUUAGAUACCCUGGUAGUCCA